CCCUGGGUGUUGCAAACAGUUAAUGCACUCAGCUGUUAACUGAAAGUUUGGAGGUUCAAGUCCCCCCAGGGG
rnacentral:tRNA from 1 species